GGCGCACUUGGAAAACUCCGGCGUCUCUCUCCUCCGCAGAAACUGGCAGGUCGUUGCCGUCCUGCCCCAGCCUGUCCUCCUGUUCUCCUUGUCCCGCAGUCUGAACUCCAGUAGUUCUGCUAGUGUAUGUGUGUCGCUGCAGGCUGGACUUAUGGCCUCGCCGUUGAGGUUCGACGGGCGGGUGGUACUGGUCACCGGCGCGGGGGGAGGAUUGGGCCGAGCCUAUGCCCUGGCUUUUGCAGAAAGAGGUGCAUCAGUUGUUGUGAAUGAUCUAGGAGGGGACUUCAUGGGAGUUGGUAAAGGCUCCUUAGCUGCUGAUAAGGUUGUUGAAGAAAUAAGAAGGAAAGGCGGAAAAGCAGUGGCCAACUAUGAUUCAGUGGAAGCAGGAGAGAAGGUUGUGAAGACAGCACUGGAUGCUUUUGGAAGAAUAGAUGUUGUGAUCAACAAUGCUGGAAUUUUGAGGGACCGUUCCUUUGGUAGAAUAAGUGAUGAAGACUGGGAUAUCAUCCAGAGAGUUCAUUUGCGGGGCUCAUUCCUGGUGACCCGGGCAGCGUGGGAUCACAUGAAGAAACAGAAAUUUGGAAGGAUCAUCAUGACUUCAUCGGCUUCAGGAAUAUAUGGCAACUUUGGCCAGGCAAAUUAUUGUGCUGCAAAGCUGGGUCUUCUGGGCCUUUCAAAUUGUCUUGCGGUUGAAGGCGAGAAAAGCAACAUUCAUUGUAACACUAUUGCCCCUACUGCUGGAUCACGGUUGACCCAGAACAUUUUGCCUGAUGAUCUUCUGGAAGCUCUGAAGCCAGAUUACGUGGCACCCCUGGUCCUUUGGCUUUGCCAUGAGAGUUGUGAGGAAAAUGGUGGCUUGUUUGAGGUUGGAGCAGGAUGGAUUGGAAAAUUACGAUGGGAGCGGACCCUUGGAGCCAUUGUAAGACAGAGGACUCAGCCAAUGACUCCUGAGGCGGUGAAGGCUAACUGGACGAAGAUCUGUGACUUUGAUAAUGCCACCAAGCCUCAGAGAAUUCAAGAAUCAAUUGGCGGUAUAAUUGAAGCUCUAAAUAAAAUAGAUUCAGAUGGAGGAGUUUCGGCAAAUCAUACCAGUAAUGUGACAUCAACAGCUACAUCAGGAUUUGCUGGAGCUAUUGGCCAUAAACUUCCUCCAUUUUCUUCUUCUUAUACGGAACUGGACACUAUUAUGUAUGCCCUUGGAGUGGGAGCAUCUAUCAAGGAACCGAAAGAUUUGAAAUUUAUUUAUGAAGGGAGUUCUGAUUUCUCCUGUUUGCCUACCUUUGGAGUUAUUCUAGCUCAGAAAUCUAUAAUGGGUGGAGGAUUAGCAGAGAUUCCUGGGCUCUCAGUCAACUUGGCAAAGGUUCUUCAUGGGGAGCAGUACUUGGAGUUAUAUAAACCACUUCCCAGAGCAGGAAAAUUAAAAUGUGAAGCAAUUGUUGCUGACGUCCUGGAUAAAGGAUCCGGUUUAAUAAUUCUUAUGGAUGUCUACUCUUAUUCUGGGGAGGAACUUAUAUGUUAUAAUCAGUUCUCCAUCUUUGUUGUUGGCGCUGGAGGCUUUGGUGGAAAACGGACGUCAGACAAAGCUAAGGUAGCUGUAGCCAUACCUAAUAGACCUCCUGAUGCUGUACUUACAGAUACCACCUCACUUAAUCAGGCUGCUUUGUACCGCCUAAGUGGAGACUGGAAUCCCUUACACAUUGAUCCUGACUUUGCUAACUUAGCAGGUUUUGACAAGCCCAUAUUACAUGGAUUAUGUACAUUUGGAUUUUCUGCCAGGCAUGUUUUACAGCAGUUUGCAGAUAAUGACGUGUCAAGAUUCAAAGCAAUUAAGGUUCGUUUUGCAAAACCAGUAUAUCCAGGACAAACUCUACAAACUGAGAUGUGGAAGGAAGGAAAUAGAAUCCAUUUCCAAACCAAGAUCCAAGGAACUGGAGACAUCGUCAUUUCAAAUGCAUAUGUGGAUCUUGUGCCAACAGCUGAUGUUGUAGCUAAGACACCAUCUGAGGGUAGGGAGCUUCAGAGUACCCUUGUGUUUGAGGAAAUAGGUCGCCGCCUUCAGCAUAUAGGGGGAGAGGUGGUGAAGAAAGUAAAUGCUGUGUUUGAGUGGCAUAUCACUAAAGGUGAAAAUACUGCAGCUAAGUGGACUAUUGACCUAAAAAAUGGUUCUGGAAAAGUGUAUCAAGGCACUGCAAAAGAUUCUGCUGAUGUAACCAUCACGCUUUCAGAUGAAGAUUUCAUGGAAGUAGUCUUGGGCAAGCUUGAUCCUCAGAAGGAACAGAUGAGUAGUUUGACAAUGCUACUAGCUAAUGAAAAGAAGAGAGCAUUACCUUAUUUAUAGACUUUGGGCAUUACUACCUAGCAGCUUAAAUGUGAAAGCUGAGAAGGCUGUGGCUAAUGUGAACUUAACAAAAGCUGCCCAGUUAUGCUUACAACCUCACUAAUGAGUUGAGGUCAACAUUUCCGAGGUUACUUUUGCCAGAAGGAUUCUAAGACAGUCUUGGUUGACCACUGGGGUGCUACGAUGGCGACAUCAUUUUGGAUAUUUUAACAACUGAGUUUUCCUCUCUGACUCUGUUACAUGGAGACUGGGCUGCACAAGUGAAACAGGUGUGUCUCCUGAUUAACCCUCUUCUGGAGAUCUCACGUCUAUGGAUGCAGCCUGGGAGAGCACGAGGGGUUUCUGAAGCCAUGUCACCCUGAUGACUCAGGUGACCACUGAACCUUAAAGGAGAAACAAACAUAGUGCCCUAGGGCCUAGGGCUGACCUCAAUAUUCAUAAACCAGGACAGGACAAUCAUCUUCUCUUGACAGAUGAGGAAGAUGGGGUUCUAACAGGCUAAGGAAAACUGCCCACAGUCACAGAACAAAAAGUGGUGGAUUCCCAGUCCCUGAAGGUCCUAGGACAUGUGCCAAGUAAUUACUUGGUGGAGCCAUGGCAGAGGAAAUUCAAAGGGAUUCUCCAAGAAGCAGGAAGAUUGAAUCUCAUCAGCAAACCCUCACAAGGCUGAAGUUGUCCUCUCUUCACUCUCCCGCUGCCUGAAACCUUAAGUCAUUCUGCAGUGCCCUUUCAAAUUGGGACCCGCCUCAGUCCAUGUGGUAUUUCUAAUGAAAGCAGUGACUUCUGGGAGUCUACCUCAUCCCGUGCACCAAUCCUCCCACUGGAUCCUGGCCACUACCUCAAAAUGAGGUGUCUCUAAUUCUAGAGUGGAAUCAGGAGGAUCCAGAUGCAUUGCCACUUAUAGCUGGUAUAAAUUACAGCCCACAAGCAGAGGUGUGCAAGAAAUAGUACGAAAAAUUUUUUUAUAACUCCACGUAAUUUGUAUUUUAAGCCUUGAUCCUGCUGGUGUCCUGUUUGGAUUUCCGCCAUCCCUAUUUGGAAGUCAUACAGGGCCAAGGUUUUGAGGGAGUGGGUGGAAGCAUGAUCAUUGUUGACUGGAGCCCACAGUUGUAAGUGUAGAUGCCCAUCAGCUCGGGGGCCAUGCCUCCUUUAGGUUUGGUGGCUCCUGUGCCAUGCGUGGGACAGGUUGCCAUGAUUCUGCUUGUAUGCACACUAUAGCCAUCUCCUUUUAGAAUUUUUGCUCCAUUUACCCCUCCAGCCACACUAGAGAGGGCUUUUCUCCUCCAGGAUUUACAGACAUCUCUCUCUGACUUAAUUAGCACAUUUCAACACUCCAGUAGGGAAACAAGACAGUACCUAAUUUCAAAAACCUGCUUCUGUUAUGUUUCUGCUCAAGUAUCCUCUCUUUUCCAUGGAGUUUGCGAUUUU